rnacentral:rRNA from 1 species
UACGGGGGGAGCAAGCGUUGUUCGGAUUUACUGGGCGUAAAGGGCGCGUAGGCGGUCUGUUGCGUCCGCUGUGAAAACUCGGGGCUUAACCCCGAGCCUGCAGUGGAUACGGGCAGACUAGAGGUAGGUAGGGGAGAAUGGAAUUCCCGGUGUAGCGGUGAAAUGCGCAGAUAUCGGGAGGAACACCGGUGGCGAAGGCGGUUCUCUGGGCCUUACCUGACGCUGAGGAGCGAAAGCGUGGGGAGCGAACAGG